GAACCUCUGGGAGGAAAGAUGGAGCAGAAAAAAUAACGACAAUACAAAUGCAGCCCAUCAUCCGAAAAACCCUUUCUUUAUACUGUCUCCUUUGAACAUGAACACUGAUGACCUGAGGGGAGUAGCAAAAAUGAUGGGAAAAGUAAUAAUAAUAAUACAUUUAUAAAUAAACAAACCAGAAAAUAGAAAGAAAGAAAGAAAAAGAAAUAAAGAAAGACAUGAUUAUAAAAGAGCAAGAAGAAGAAGACAUAGGCAAAGAAUUGCCUGCUGGACAGAGAAAGCUUCCUGGUUAGUUUGAGGAACCCUUGAGCCUCUGUGUACGGUAUCCAGAUACACCUAUGCAGAACUUCCACUUGGUAUGCAAGCUGUGAUUGAUGGGACUGAAGAGGAUAACAGUGCAAAGAAUCGUGUAUUAUGAGAGAGAACUCUAUUUUGUUUGGUGCUAGACCCUCAGAGAGAUAAUGGAGGGAGAAUGCACUGAAGCAAAUGGCAUCUUUAUGUGUAUCUUCCAGUAUCAAGAGGACACGAAGACAUUGUUCACUAAUUGUCUAAAUCAGCAAGACCUUAAGUUUGAUGCCAUGUUCCUUUAAUUCUCAUCAGGAGGAACUCUUGUCGUCAAUGUCAUUUUUUUUUUGGUAUGCCAACAUUAUAUUGAGGAUCUGUGUGCUUACUGUGUUUUAAUUUUUGCACGUUUAGUAGUUUGGGGUAGGUCAAAUAACUUUUGUGUUUGUUUCAGUACAUCUGCCCUUUAUCAUUGCUGUAUGCAUGCAGUGACCACGACCACAUAUGGUCGAUACAUAUGUCACAUGUAGGUUAAAUGCAGAGGACAAAUUUCAUUGUUAUGCAAAUUGAAGCAUGAAUUAGGCUUUAUCAGUGUACCAAGGUUGGUGCAAAUUGACCUAUAGGGGGUGCUACAUCUAUUUAUGUGUAAUAUGUCCAUCUGCACUGUAGGUUUCUUUAAUUUUGCAUAAUAUGCCAAACAUACUUUUGUGACCUAGUGAAUAAGAGAAAACCUACUCUUGAUUUCCUUUUUUUUUUUGCUGAAAACUUCUCCUUGGUGUAUUGGUCAUACAGUAUCAUUUUACAUGAAGCGUGCAGAGUUACCAAUAGAUUCUCGAAAUGGCACCAAACCGUAGAACUUUAUUCAAAAUAAGGCAUAUGAUGACUGUACCAAUUUUGGAUAAAAUUAGAUGCUGUUUAGUUUGACUUUUUAAACUUAAUCUUUUAGCAUAUGCACUGUUAUUUGGUGGUCUCUGUUGCCACCUGCUGGUUAUUGAC